AUAUUGCACAAUGGGCGAAAGCCUGAUGCAGCAACGCCGCGUGAGUGAUGAAGGCCUUCGGGUCGUAAAACUCUGUCCUCAAGGAAGAUAAUGACGGUACUUGAGGAGGAAGCCCCGGCUAACUACGUGCCAGCAGCCGCGGUAAUACGUAGGGGGCUAGCGUUAUCCGGAUUUACUGGGCGUAAAGGGUGCGUAGGCGGUCUUUCAAGUCAGGAGUGAAAGGCUACGGCUCAACCGUAGUAAGCUCUUGAAACUGGGAGACUUGAGUGCA
rnacentral:rRNA from 1 species